AUGGGUGCAGAUGAUUUAUUCAGUGCCAUCGAAAGCAACUUUCUGUUUUUCGUUUCUAUAAAAGUAGGUGCUACCGAUCUGUCUUCAAAUGUAUUUUCAGGUUGCCUAUUUGUGAUGUAUAAGCAUAUGAAUAAUGUUUUAUGGGUGCAGAUGAUUUAUUCAAUGCCAUCGAAAGCAACUUUCUGUUUUUUGUUUCUAUAA